UCAAGAUAUAUUAAUUAAAAAAAACACCUCCUGGAACUUCUAGAAAGAGAGAGAGAACGAGCAGGAGGGAGAGGAAGAAAGAAUAGCAGGAACACGGCUGAUUUCAAGUCUCAAUCAAUCUCUUUAAUUCUAUUUCAAGUGUUAAUUGAAUCUAUAAUCAAAGGUGACAAGUUGGAAGCAUUUUUGGUGAUGAUUGCUAUUGUUCGUUAACGAUGCAAAUGAUCGGGUGUUAAGAAAGAUCAAAGAAAAGGAAAAAGAGGCAAGAAAGCUUAGUGUGGAUUUACUUUGCUCAUACAUAUUGUAAGUUUCUUAAAUUGCCGAGUUGAUGCAUCACUUGAAGUAAAUCGCCCAUAAAAGAAAAGAUUAACUAGUAAUGCAUCGUGGAGUCAUUUUGUGGUUUAUAAGAACUGAUUGGGUUACAACCAUGUUUUGUACCGACAUAUGGGCUUAUGUUGUUAUGUCAUUUCUACAAAAGAAUAUGUAUGAUUAUGGUCAA